UACGUACGAGGCGAGCGUUAUCCGGAAUUACUGGGCGUAAAGCGCGCGCAGGCGGAUGUUUAAGUCCGUUGUGAAAUCCCUGGGCUCAACCCAGGAAAUGCUUCGGAUACUGGCGGACUUGAGGCUAGUAGGGGUCACUGGAACUGACGGUGGAGCGGUGAAAUGCGUAGAUAUCGUCAGGAACGCCAAUGGUGAAGACAGGUGACUGGGCUAGUUCUGACACUGAGGCACGAAAGCGUGGGGAUCAAACGGG
rnacentral:rRNA from 1 species